rnacentral:rRNA from 1 species
CAGCAGUAGGGAAUCUUCCACAAUGGGCGCAAGCCUGAUGGAGCAACGCCGCGUGAGUGAAGACGGCCUUCGGGUUGUAAAGCUCUGUCUGUCGGGACGAAGACCGGGACGGGAGUCCCGGGGAGCCGGUACCGACGAAGGAAGCCCCUGCAAACUACGUGCCAGCAGCCGCGGUAAGACGUAGGGGGCAAGCGUUGUCCGGAAUUACUGGGCGUAAAGGGCGUGUAGGCGGUGCGAUACGUAGCGGUUUUGAGCCUCCGGCUCACCCGGAGGAGGGCGGCUAAACGGUCGCACUGGAGGGCAGGAGAGGUGCGUGGAAUUCCUGGUGGAGCGGUGAAAUGCGUAGAGAUCAGGAAGAACACCAGUGGCGAAGGCGGCGCACUGGCCUGGCCCUGACGCUGAGGCGCGACAGCGUGGGGAGCAAACGGGAUUAGAUACCCCGGUAGUCCACGCCGUAAACGAUGGAUACUAGGUGUCGUGGGAGUCCACCCUGCGGUGCCGGAGCUAACGCACUAAGUAUCCCGCCUGGGGAGUACGGCCGCAAGGUUGAAACUCAAAGGAAUUGACGGGGGCCCGCACAAGCAGUGGAGCAUGUGGUUUAAUUCGACGCAACGCGCAGAACCUUACCAGGACUGGACAGGAUCGUGAGCGCCGCGAAAGCGGCGGGCCCUUCGGGGAGCGGUCUCAGGUGCUGCAUGGUUGUCGUCAGCUCGUGUCGUGAGAUGUUGGGUUAAGUCCCGCAACGAGCGCAACCCUUGUCGCGUGUUGCCAGCGGUUCGGCCGGGCACUCACACGAGACUGCCGGUGACAAACCGGAGGAAGGUGGGGAUGACGUCAAAUCCGCAUGGCCUUUAUGUCCUGGGCCACACACGUGCUACAAUGGUCCCGACAACGGGCCGCGACCGCGCGAGCGGCAGCGAAUCCUUCAAACGGGAUCUCAGUUCGGAUUGCAGGCUGCAACCCGCCUGCAUGAAGCCGGAAUUGCUAGUAAUCGCCCAUCAGCAUGGGGCGGUGAAUUCGUUCCCGGGCCUUGUACACACCGCCC